rnacentral:rRNA from 1 species
AUUGAACGCUGGCGGCAUGCCUUACACAUGCAAGUCGAACGGUAACAGGUCUUCGGAUGCUGACGAGUGGCGAACGGGUGAGUAAUACAUCGGAACGUGCCUAGUAGUGGGGGAUAACUACUCGAAAGAGUGGCUAAUACCGCAUGAGAUCUACGGAUGAAAGCAGGGGAUCGCAAGACCUUGUGCUACUAGAGCGGCCGAUGGCAGAUUAGGUAGUUGGUGGGAUAAAAGCUUACCAAGCCGACGAUCUGUAGCUGGUCUGAGAGGACGAUCAGCCACACUGGGACUGAGACACGGCCCAGACUCCUACGGGAGGCAGCAGUGGGGAAUUUUGGACAAUGGGCGCAAGCCUGAUCCAGCAAUGCCGCGUGCAGGAUGAAGGCCUUCGGGUUGUAAACUGCUUUUGUACGGAACGAAAGGCCCUGGGUUAAUACCCUGGGGUCAUGACGGUACCGUAAGGAUAAGCACCGGCUAACUACGUGCCAGCCGCCGCAGUAAUAC